rfam:Stemphylium lycopersici strain CIDEFI 216 scaffold6, whole genome shotgun sequence.
ACAUACGACCACAGGUAAAGGCAAUACUCUGGAUCCCGUCCGCUCUCCAUACGAUAAACCUUUGACCGGCGGAUUAGUAGUUAGGUGGGUGACCACUGGCGAAUCCCCGCUGUCGUAUGUU